GGGUAAUCUAUGAAUACUAACAAUCACAGUUUUUGGGAGGUCGUUCAUUUGCUUGGUGAUGGAGGCUGCUGUCAUGUGCUUAAAACUGGGUUGAAGUCUUUAGAUAAACGGUAUUAGUGGAGCAGGUGGCUUCCCAGGUUAUCUAAUGGUGGAGUUAUCUUGCUUUCCACUUCUAGAGCUCUACUUCGGCAUUGAAUUUGGAGGUGAUUUGUAGGGGUGAUAAAGCUUUUCUGUCCUCCAGUUGUUUGGGGAUUUCACCCCUCACCUUUUCUGUUAGGGACACC
rnacentral:misc_RNA from 1 species